CAACUGGGAGAUGAACGAAAUCCACACAUUUGGAGGCUCUCAAGGUUGUGUUAGAUGCACAAUUUUCAUCCAUCUCGGAAACCAUCCUGGUUUUCCUGGACGUAGUCCUCGCUUUACUGUGACUUGCUUAGUGACUAUUCAAACGUUACGACGGACCUCCCUGAAAGGAGGGGGGGGGAAAUCACCCAGUUCCCAAGGCUGCCUCUUCACCCGCUCAUGGGAUCACAUGAUGUACACUUGACAAUUGUUCCACAUUUACGUCCGUUUGCAUGUAACUGCGUUUGUGAAGGUUUUCGGCACAAUCAACAUCCCCCCCCCCCAAAUUUUGGACAAAACUGGCCGCUAAGCAAACCAUGGAUUCCCUGAACGACCACUGUCAAAGAAAGAAAGAAAGAAAAAGUUGUCAAAUCAGGUUGGUUGCAAGGAUAACUCGAUUUAUGACUGUGAUAGGCAAGAAGGCAUUCUCAUCGUAACUAGAGGACAACUUUUUGUUGUUGUUGUUAAAAAAAUACCCAGCUGUGUUUGGUUCGAUCCUGGUUCUUUAGCCAAAACCUUCACACGAAAAAGUUGGGUUUCGUGUUCACAUAAUCCCUCUUCCUUCUUCGGAAAGGGCGACAGUAGCAGGGGAGGAUGGUUUGUGUAAUCCGGGGGCUUGAUUUAGACUUUUCUUUCUGGUCCUCAGAACCUGCUGACGGAGGAACUGGAUCCGGUGGUGCUCUCCUCCAGCUGGGACAACCAAGGCAAGUUCCUGCACCAUUUUGCCCAGGAGGGGGCGCUGCGGCAUCGAAGGCAAGCUGAGAAAGGGAAGCGAUUGCGGCCGUGCCGGACAGGAACCAUCUGCGCCGCUCACUAUGAAGGUGAGGGAGGGUCUCCCCUGGUCCUCAGCCCCACCCA